rnacentral:rRNA from 1 species
GCUAAACGCGAAGAACCUUACCAGGGCUUGACAUGGGCAGGACCGCCGGUGAAAGCCGGUUUCCCUUCGGGGCCUGUUCACAGAUGCUGCAUGGCUGUCGUCAGCUCGUGCCGUGAGGUGUUGGGUUAAGUCCCGCAACGAGCGCAACCCUUGUCCUUAGUUGCCAUCAUUAAGUUGGGAACUCUAAGGAGACCGCCGGUGACAAACCGGAGGAAGGUGGGGAUGACGUCAAGUCAUCAUGGCCUUUAUGGCCAGGGCUACACACGUGCUACAAUGGAACGCACAGAGGGCAGCAAAGGCGCGAGCUGGAGCGAAUCCCACAAAACGUUUCGUAGUCCGGAUCGGAGUCUGCAACUCGACUCCGUGAAGUCGGAAUCGCUAGUAAUCGCGGAUCAGAAUGCCGCGGUGAAUACGUUCCCGGGUCUUGUACACACCG